rnacentral:misc_RNA from 2 species
AACGCACCUUGCGCCCUUUGGCUAUUCCGAAGGGCAUGCCUGUUUGAGUAUCAUGAACACCUCAACCCUCAUGGUUUACCAUGGUGGGCUUGGACUUUGGGGGUCUUGCUGGAUUGUAGUCAGCUCCCCUUAAAUGAAUCAGCUUGCCAGUGUCUGGUGGCAUCACAGGUGUGAUAAUUAUCUACGCUUGUGGUUUUACAUCAGGUAACCUUCAGAGAUGGGGGUUCACUGGGGCUCACAAAAGGUCUCUCCUCAGUGAGGAUGACUCUUUGAAUGUUUGAUCUCAAAUCAGGUAGGACUACCCGCUGAACUUAA